GACAGAGGCCUCGAGCGUUUAGGCGGAAUCACUGGGCUUAAAGCGUGUGUAGGCGGGCCCGUAAGUGUCUUGUGAAAUCCCACGGCUCAACCGUGGAACUGCUGGGCAUACUGCGGGUCUGGGCCAACUAGGGGCAGCCGGAACAAGCGGUGUAGCGGUGAAAUGCGCAGAUAUCAGGAGGAACACCGGUGGCGAAGGCGGGUCUCUGGGCCGUAACUGACGCUGGAGGAGCGAAAGCGUGGGGAGCGAACAGG
rnacentral:rRNA from 1 species